rnacentral:rRNA from 1 species
CACGUAGUUAGCCGGAGCUUUCUUCACAGGUACAGUCUUUUUCUUCCCUGUGGACAAUAGUUUACAAUCCGAAAACCUUCUUCCUAUACGCGGCGUCACUGCGUCAGAGUUGCCUCCAUUGCGCAAUAUUCCCGACUGCUGCCUCCCGUAGGAGUCUGGGCCGUAUCUCAGUCCCAAUGUGGCCGUUCAACCUCUCGGUCCGGCUACUGAUCGUCGCCUUGGUAGGCCUUUACCCCACCAACUAGCUAAUCAGCCGCAAGCUCAUCUAUCAGCGAAUUGCUUCUUUCCCACUAACAUCAUGCGAUGUUUAUGGCAUAUGCGGUAUUAGCAGUGAUUUCUCACUGUUAUUCCCCUCUGAUAGGCAGAUUUCUUACGUGUUACUCACCAGUCCGCCACUAACCGCUUACCUUGCAAGCAAGAUAUUAAGUUCGUCGAUUUGCAUGUCUUAUGUGCGCCGCAGUCGUUUAUCCUAGACGCGAGUACAACGUA